rnacentral:siRNA from 1 species
UUGUCUUCAUUACCUCAUCCA